GUCAAGUCAUCAUGCCCCUUAUGCCUUGGGCUGCAAACAUGCUACAAUGGCCGGUACAGUGGGUUGCGAGCCUGUGAGGGGGAGCCAAUCCCAGAAAGCCGGUCUCAGUUCGGAUUGAAGUCUGCAACUCGACUUCAUGAAGUCGGAGUCGCUAGUAAUCCCGGAUCAGCACUGCCGGGGUGAAUACGUUCCCGGGCCUU
rnacentral:rRNA from 1 species